rnacentral:rRNA from 1 species
AACAUAGCUUUUUGAAUUUUUAAAAAGUGAAGUCUGCCCGGUGACUUAAUAGUUUAACGGCCGCGGUCUACGUGCUAAGGUAGCGUAAUAAUUUGCCCUUUUAUUGGGGGCCAGAAAUGAAAGGCAUCACGAUUGCUCUGCUGUCUCAUAUUAAUUUACUUAACUUAACUACCAAGUGAAAAGUCUUGGUUUUUCUUGAAGGACGAGAAGACCCUGUAGAGUUUUAGUAACCUAAAUUAAUUAAAAGUAACGAGUGAACAAAUUCCUUUUUUUAAUUUAAGGUACUUUCAUUGGGGAAGUGAAAGGUGACUAAAAACCUUUACAUAUAAUUAUACAAAUAGUAGAAUAGAAGAUCCUUAAAAAGAAUUAAGAAAAAACUACCUCAGGGAUAACAGCGUUAUUUUACCUGAGAGACCUAAUCGAAGGUAAAGUUUGCGACCUCGAUGUUGGACUAAGGUAACUAGGGGGUGCAGAAGUCCCUUGUUGUAGGCCUGUUCGGCCUUUAAAUCCUUACAUGAU